CACCACCACCAUCACCGCCACCGCCAUCUCCUUCGCCUCCACCACCUCCAGUUUACUCCCCUCCUCCACCUCCACCAGUUUACUCACCUCCACCACCCCCUCCUCCCCCACCGCCACCACCACCUGUUUAUUUUCCGCCACCACCUCCACCUUCACCACCACCACCGUCUCCCCCUCCACCCUCACCCCCACCACCUUCUCCAUCACCGCCUCCCCCUCCCUCGCCACCACCACCGGUAUUAUCGCCCCCGCCUCCAGUUUAUUGCGUCCGUUCCCCACCACCGCCACCGCCAAAUUCUCCCCCGCCUCCCAUUUAUUCUCCACCACCACCUCCAGUUCAUUCACCGCCCCCACCAAGUCCUUACUAUAGUUCACCACCGCCCCCGCCGCCACAUCAUUCACCUCCACCACCUCCCCACUCGCCACCCCCGCCUCCACCUAUCUAUCCAUACGCAUCACCGCCACCGCCACCCGUGCAUUCCCCACCACCACCUGUCCAUUCUCCACCACCUCCAUGCAUAGAACCGCCUCCUCCUUCUCCACCACCCCCAUCACCACCUCCAUGCAUAGAACCGCCUCCUCCUCCUUCUCCACCACCAUGUGUAGAAUAUUCGCCACCUCCACCAUCACCACACUCACCACCGCCACCACCAGUUCAUUACUUGCCUCCACCAUCACCAUCACCCCCACCACCACCUGUGUAUGCUUCUCCGCCACCUCCACCAUCUCUGCCUCCCCCAGUUUACUACCAUUCUCCGCCCCCACCCUCACCACCUCCUCCAACCCCAUGUGAAAAUCCUCCACCUACUCCAUCACCACCGCCCCCAAUCAUUUAUGAGAGCCCACCACCUCCAACCCCUGUAUAUGAGGGGCCAUUGCCACCAAUCUUUGGAGUUUCAUACGCUUCUCCACCGCCACCACCCUUCUAUUGAUUCUUUUGAGAAUUUUCCUCCUCUUGACAUUUCCUCAAAGAAACAAAAUUUACAAUUAUAUUAGUGGUCAUGGC
rnacentral:lncRNA from 1 species